CCGCGGUAAUACGUAGGGUGCAAGCGUUGUCCGGAAUUACUGGGCGUAAAGAGCUCGUAGGCGGUUUGUCGCGUCGUCUGUGAAAACUCGAGGCUCAACCUCGAGCUUGCAGGCGAUACGGGCAGACUUGAGUACUGCAGGGGAGACUGGAAUUCCUGGUGUAGCGGUGAAAUGCGCAGAUAUCAGGAGGAACACCGGUGGCGAAGGCGGGUCUCUGGGCAGUAACUGACGCUGAGGAGCGAAAGCGUGGGUAGCGAACAGGAUUAGAUACCCUGGUAGUCCACGCCGUAAACGGUGGGCGCUAGGUGUGGGUUUCCUUCCACGGGAUCCGUGCCGUAGCUAACGCAUUAAGC
rnacentral:rRNA from 1 species